GUUCAAAACAUUUCUGCUAACAGAAAGAACAUUACUUAAGGUGACCAUGUACUUUGCAGUUCUGCCAAUGAUGGAUCGGACAACUUGGGAUUGAGAUACGACACCGUGUUCUUCUUGAGAGAAUGCAUAGCCAUCUGAAAGCAAGAAAUGAGGAGAGCAGGCUGAACACAUCGCAUCCUGCAUAUCGCAGUUAUCGCUCUGGAAUACAGUGGGCAUGGAAUGAUUCUCUUGCAUCUCGAUAAAAUUAAAGCCAAAUGUGGAAAAUGCGCUGAAUAAAACGUUGGCUUGGUUCAAUGUAUGGGAGAACACUUAGGCUACUUAUCAUGAAUGGAGAAAAAGCAAAAAAUGCCCCCAUGUAUAUGUUUUCCCAAAGGCCAGCUUGUAUAUUUUAAUUUUAUAUCUCCCUUCUGGCAGCUGGAGAGAGAACGUAUGGAAAGAGGAGGCGGUCAUGAUUUAAUGACGCCUCUCCUGGCAGCAAGUUUGUGGGAUAAUCCAUAUGGGGACACUAAUUUUGUCAUCACAACUUGGAUCACCCAGUGUUCUCUAAGAUGUUUGAGGCUUAAAGACACAAGUCACCUAUCUUACAGGAAGGUAAGUGCCUUUAUGGGACUAUGGCAGUGCUGUUCUAUGCUGUUCUACAGAAAAAUGUACAUCUCCAGCUGCUAGCAACUGUCAUAUCGGCUGUGUUACUGACUCCCCAGAAAAUGACUCCUGCAACUUUCUCCCAGCUUUACUGGAAAAUCUCAGCUUGGUUAUAGGAUGGCAGUGUCCAAAAAUUGAUAUAAGGACUCGAGUGACAGUUACUCUACCUAUUUCCAGCAGUUAUGCAAUUGUAAUUGGUGCACGCAUGGCUACAUGCUGGAUGUUCUACUACGGUCUGCUGUGUGGCUGCCAUUAGUAUAUAAUAGAAUAAUACGUCUUUUGACAGAAGGAUGUGGUGGUAUGACUCAGGGCAGUUACCUUCUAUAUUUCAGGAACCCUAUAUGAGAUAUAGCAUUUAAG